rnacentral:rRNA from 1 species
CCUACGGGAGGCAGCAGUGAGGAAUAUUGGUCAAUGGACGAGAGUCUGAACCAGCCAAGUAGCGUGAAGGAUGACUGCCCUAUGGGUUGUAAACUUCUUUUAUAUGGGAAUAAAAUGUUCCACGUGUGGGAUUUUGUAUGUACCAUAUGAAUAAGGAUCGGCUAACUCCGUGCCAGCAGCCGCGGUAAUACGGAGGAUCCGAGCGUUAUCCGGAUUUAUUGGGUUUAAAGGGAGCGUAGGUGGAUUGUUAAGUCAGUUGUGAAAGUUUGCGGCUCAACCGUAAAAUUGCAGUUGAAACUGGCAGUCUUGAGUACAGUAGAGGUGGGCGGAAUGCGUGGUGUAGCGGUGAAAUGCUUAGAUAUCACGAAGAACUCCGAUUGCGAAGGCAGUUCACUAGACUGCAACUGACACUGAGGCUCGAAAGUGUGGGUAUCAAACAGGAUUAGAUACCCUAGUAGUC